rnacentral:rRNA from 1 species
GACGUAGGGCGCGAGCGUUGUCCGGAUUUAUUGGGCGUAAAGGGCUCGUAGGCGGUUCGUCACGUCGGGAGUGAAAACUCGGAGCUUAACUCCGAGCCUGCUUCCGAUACGGGCAGACUAGAGGUAGGCAGGGGAGAGCGGAACUCCUGGUGUAGCGGUGGAAUGCGCAGAUAUCAGGAGGAACACCAGCGGCGAAGGCAGCCCCCCUGGGAUGACACUGACGCUCAUGCACGAAAGCGUGGGGAGCAAACAGG